GGUCCCUAAUGGAAGGGGUGUCCAUAUUCAGUGCCACUAGAUACUAUAAGAAGAUGGAAACAUCACAUUGGCACGAGUCCCACCAGUUAGAAGGACAACCCUCUGAAACUAAAGGCAAGUUCAAGGGUACCAAAUGUAUCAACAAUCUUUCAUCCGAGAGGGCUAAAGUCGUUGCCACAAAAUUCAACACCAAAUAGACCUAACUGCCCCAUAUUGUGCUCACACUUGUUUGUAAGUCAAACUAACUACAACUUGUUCUUUAUUUAAUACUAAUUUUAUACAUUGUAUGCUUAUACUAAUUUAUAUUUAUAUAUGUGCUUUCUGCUUUACUAUCUA